rnacentral:misc_RNA from 1 species
AUUACGCAACUUCGGGAUCAUUACCCUGACGUGUCAAUUUUGGCUUUCAAUUUUCGGGAGGGUGAGUCAGAAAGCCUGAUUGCAAACGAUCUUUCCGAGCAUGAUGUGACCAUAAUGGAUUACCCUCGACAUUAUGAAGGAUGCCCUUUGCUCUCUAUGGAGAUGAUAAACCAUUUUCUUAGAUCCAGUGAAAGUUGGCUCUCCCUUGGGCAGCAAAAUGUGCUCCUAUUACACUGUGAAUGGGGUGGUUGG